UAGGGAAUCUUCCACAAUGGGCGCAAGCCUGAUGGAGCAACACCGCGUGAGUGAAGAAGGGUUUCGGCUCGUAAAGCUCUGUUGUUAAAGAAGAACACAUAUGAGAGUAACUGUUCAUACGUUGACGGUAUUUAACCAGAAAGUCACGGCUAACUACGUGCCAGCAGCCGCGGUAAUACGUAGGUGGCAAGCGUUAUCCGGAUUUAUUGGGCGUAAAGAGAGUGCAGGCGGUUUUCUAAGUCUGAUGUGAAAGCCUUCGGCUUAACCGGAGAAGUGCAUCGGAAACUGGAUAACUUGAGUGCAGAAGAGGGUAGUGGAACUCCAUGUGUAGCGGUGGAAUGCGUAGAUAUAUGGAAGAACACCAGUGGCGAAGGCGGCUACCUGGUCUGCAACUGACGCUGAGACUCGAAAGCAUGGGUAGCGAACAGGAUUAGAUACCCUUGGUAGUCCAUGCCGUAAACGAUGAGUGCUAGGUGUU
rnacentral:rRNA from 1 species